UACGAAGGAUCCAAGCGUUGUCCGGAUUUACUGGGCGUAAAGCGCGCGUAGGCGGCUCGUUAAGUGUGAAGUGAAAUCCCUGGGCUCAACUCAGGAACUGCUUUACAUACUGGCGAGCUUGAGGGAUGCAGAGGUCUGUGGAAUUCCUGGUGUAACGGUGAAAUGUGUUGAUAUCAGGAGGAACACCCAUGGCGAAGGCAGCAGACUGGGCAUCGCCUGACGCUGAGGUGCGAAAGCGUGGGUAGCAAACAGG
rnacentral:rRNA from 1 species